rnacentral:rRNA from 1 species
UACGUAGGGGGCAAGCGUUGUCCGGAAUCAUUGGGCGUAAAGAGCGUGUAGGCGGCCACACAGGUCAGCUGUGAAAACUCGAGGCUCAACCUCGAGACGUCGGUUGAAACCGUAUGGCUGGAGUCCGGAAGAGGAGAGUGGAAUUCCCGGUGUAGCGGUGAAAUGCGCAGAUAUCGGGAAGAACACCCGUGGCGAAGGCGGCUCUCUGGGACGGUACUGACGCUGAGACGCGAAAGCGUGGGGAGCGAACAGG